GAGCAAACCCAUAAACAGUUCUCAUUCUCCAUCAACACCAAUUCAAGAUUCAAAUUUUACAAUGCAUAAUCUUCAACCAGAACUCAUUCUUGAAAUCCUCUGGACUACCAGUUAAAUCCCUCUUGAAAUUCAGUAAUAUUGACAUCAGGAAAAAUGGGUUGAAUGAGGAGAAUGCAGUUGAGGAAAUAUUUGGCUGCUACGAUCAUGAGAGUAGAUUGCUCAUACCUGUGAACACGGGGUUCUAGACGAAAUAGAUUGGGCGUGAAGCUUUGUUUACUGGGGUCCUGUCUACUCUAGAGUACAUGAAAGUGCAAAAUUUUGUCAUCUUUAAUCUUUGUCAUUUCAAACAGGAAGAUUCCUACUAUAAUGAAUUCUCUUAUCUUGUUUUUUGAUAGAGCUAAUAUAUCUAAGUUGGCUA